rnacentral:tRNA from 1 species
AACCUUAUAGUCAAGAAGAUGAUAUUAGACUGCAAUUCUAGGGGGGUAAAUUAUGGAUUUUACUAAGGUUU